GUUUUAUAGAUGCAUUUUUGUUAAAUGUGCAAUUUUUUUUGUUGCAGCAUGGUGAUGAUGAUUAUUCACUCCUUGUAAACUUGAAAAAGUUGGAUGAUGAUCCUCAAUUUUCAAGGAAAAUUUCCAUCGAAAAAUUAAAAAAACUGCCCCAUGGUAAGCUUAGGUCUAGUGGGAAAAGGUGGUAGAUUUGUGACUUAGGUCACAUAUUCAAGCCCCACACCAUGCAAAGCAAAGCCCAAUAUUUAAGUGGAGAAGGAUAGAGGGGCGGACCUAUUAUCUAUUGGAUUUUAUUUGCCCUAAAUUUCUUACCAUAAAUAGGUUUUUCUUGUAGGAAAAAGUUUUGAAUUGACUAAUCCUUUUCUUGUAGGAAAAGGUUUAGGACUCUAUAAAUAGAGGCAUGUUCCUUCUAACAUAAUUAGAAUUCACAAUGUAGUUUUAAGGGCUUUGAGAGUUUUGGUUAGAGGGAGA
rnacentral:misc_RNA from 1 species